UUGGGCGUAAGAGCUCGUAGGCGGUUUGUCGCGUCUGCCGUGAAAGUCCGGGGCUCAACUCCGGAUCUGCGGUGGGUACGGGCAGACUAGAGUGAUGUAGGGGAGACUGGAAUUCCUGGUGUAGCGGUGAAAUGCGCAGAUAUCAGGAGGAACACCGAUGGCGAAGGCAGGUCUCUGGGCAUUAACUGACGCUGAGGAGCGAAAGCAUGGGGAGCGAACAGGAUUAGAUACCCUGGUAGUCCAUGCCGUAAACGUUGGGCACUAGGUGUGGGGGACAUUCCACGUUUUCCGCGCCGUAGCUAACGCAUUAAGUGCCCCGCCUGGGGAGUACGGCCGCAAGGCUAAAACUCAAAGGAAUUGACGGGGGCCCGCACAAGCGGCGGAGCAUGCGGAUUAAUUCGAUGCAACGCGAAGAACCUUACCAAGGCUUGACAUGAACCGGAAACACCUGGAGACAGGUGCCCCGCUUGCGGUCGGUUUACAGGUGGUGCAUGGUUGUCGUCAGCUCGUGUCGUGAGAUGUUGGGUUAAGUCCCGCAACGAGCGCAACCCUCGUUCUAUGUUGCCAGCACGUGAUGGUGGGGACUCAUAGGAGACUGCCGGGGUCAACUCGGAGGAAGGUGGGGACGACGUCAAAUCAUCAUGCCCCUUAUGUCUUGGGCUUCACGCAUGCUACAAUGGCCGGUACAAAGGGUUGCGAUACUGUGAGGUGGAGCUAAUCCCAAAAAGCCGGUCUCAGUUCGGAUUGGGGUCUGCAACUCGACCCCAUGAAGUCGGAGUCGCUAGUAAUCGCAGAUCAGCAACGCUGCGGUGAAUACGUUCCCGGGCCUUGUACACACCGCCCGUCAAGUCACGAAAGUUGGUAACACCCGAAGCCGGUGGCCUAACCCCUUGUGGGAGGGAGCUGUCGAAGUGGGACUGGCGAUUGGACGAAGUC
rnacentral:rRNA from 1 species